UUGCCCCAUCCCUGCCGGCUGCCGCACCACCACCGACGCCUCCUUCGAGCUCUCUGCCGCGGUGGCACUGUGGCAGAUGACGCCUUCCAUCGAUGACGCCGAGUCGCCGACGCCAUCAACUUUACCCGCGCGCCUCGACGCCGACGCCAUCAACUUUAUCCGCGCGCCUCGACGCCCACCACAUGCUCGGCGUCCGGUCCUGACCACGGUACCGGAAGCAGGGUCAGUCGCUGACCACUCGGGGCGAUUCUACAUCCGUAAUGCCACCGUCAGAGCCCUCUCCGACGGCUGACCCCUCCUCUGCUGCAACCAUUCGCCGUCCUUUGAGCUCGACACGCCGACGCCCACCAGGUGCUCGACCGAAUGCUCGGGGGGACGAUGCCAGAAGGGCGCUGCGAACAUCAUCUCUGGGCGCGUCUCCUUCAAGUGCCGUUCCACUCGUCCAUAUCCAAUCCAACCCCACAAUGCCAUUUACGGUAGUUCCAGUGCGUGCCCACGUCAAGGACGUCGCCGCGGUGCCCGUGAUGUUCAACAAAGGGCAGCCGUGACCUCCACCUCUGCAACCACAGGUCAGCGACAAAGGGAGAAGAUAUGGCCAAGACCGUGGCCAUUUUCCGAGCUCACUCAGGGGGAAAUGUGGCUGGGCACCACGUUUGGGAAAUGUCCAUAUGCUCGGGGUAUUCAAAGUACUUGAUCAGCUGGCACCGUCAGCCGUGGCAAGCUUCUGCUAUGUUGGCUUGUAGACAUGCUAGUUCGAAUCAUCGACCAUGGAUGUUAUCUGUUAAUUGUUGUCGUAAUUUUGUAGUUCACCUGAAGGAGGCAUGGGCAUCAGCUUAGGCAGACAUAUGAAACAAUCUAUCGGUAAGCAGGUUUCAAGGAGGCAUGGAUGUUUAUGUUCAGGCCUUUCGUCUCACACAUUCCAUAACUUGGGAUGGUAUAAUGGGUCUGGAGCAGCGGGAGCCGCAGUCAACUACAAAGAGUUGAUGCAAGCAACUGGAAGCGGAUUCAUAGAUUUCACAAGGCGGUGGCUUCUUCUCUUCCACGCUGGGUUCUCUCUCUGUCUCUCUCGGAUCUUCAAUCUUCCUAUUCUGCAACCAACUCUUGUAUACAGCAAGUGAUCUUAGAUGGCCUUCUGAACCUGUUUUUCCAAGUUCUGCUGACUGUUUUGCUAAGUGCACAUGACUUCGCGCGUUU